rnacentral:rRNA from 1 species
CCCUUCGGGGUACACGAGAGGCGGACGGCUGAGUAACGCGUGGGAACGCACCCUACACUGAGGGAUAAGAUACCGAAAGGUGUUCUAAUACCGCAUACGGUCUUCGGAUUAAAGUCUUCGGACGGUGAAGGAGCGGCCCGCGUCAUAUUAGGUAGUUGGUGGGGUAAUGGCCUACCAAGCCGAUGAUGUGUAGCUGGUCUGAGAGGAUGAUCAGCCAGACUGGAACUGAGAACGGUCCAGACUCCUACGGGAGGCAGCAGUG